AACGUAGGGGGCGAGCGUUGCCCGGAUUCACUGGGCGUAAAGCGGGUGUAGGCGGUCUCUUAAGUCGGAUGUGAAAUCCUGCGGCCUAACCGCGGAACUGCAUCCGAUACUGGGAGACUUGAGGACGGUAGAGGUCGGUGGAAUUCCCGGUGUACCGGUGAAAUGGACAGAUAUCGGGAGGAACACCAGUGGCGAAGGCGGCCGACUGGGCCGAUCCUGACGCUGAGGUGCGAAAGCGUGGGGAGCAAACAGG
rnacentral:rRNA from 1 species